rnacentral:ncRNA from 1 species
GUGAAAACUUUGAAGAGGAUAAGUAGCAAUGGAAACAAGGAUCCACAGAGAGCCGGCGGCUGCUGAAAGCCGGUGUUCCCUUCCAGCGUGAACUCGCCUCUGAGUGCUGAUUUGAAAUGAAGUAGGAUCAGCCGGGUGCUAUUUUUCACACCACCCGUUACCAAAAGAAAGCUUUAAGCUUUCAUAAGGUGGCCUGAUUUCAGGCCAUGAACAAGGGUGGUACCGCGAAAAGUGUUUUCAAACCUUUUCGCCCCUUUG